UAUACAACCUAUUGAAUGCACAUUUCUCAGUCCCGUACUCUCAUGUUAUAGCAGAAGUACUUCUAAAUGAUCACUCUGAAUUUUACACCCACUUUAGGGACAAAUCGUGCAGGCACAUUUGACCGUGCUUAGACAAGUGCCAAGAAAGAGACGAGUUGCUUGAUUGACAAGGAUAUGUUCCUGUACGCUAUCAAUGAUGCUGAGAUGUAGCCCAAACAGAAGUUUAUAUACAUGAAAACGCGGAUCAAUCUAACAAAUCCUAUAAAGAAUACAAAAUACAGAGUUGGACAAACACGGACCCUGGACACACCAGAGGUGGAAUCAUGUGCCUAAAAGAAAAACGAUGAAGGAAAAUAUUCAUAUUGAAAAGAUUUCGGCAGAAUCGAUAGUGUGUAAGCACGUGUCUGAACCGCUGUCCGACUUCAUCUGUACACGAGCGGUCUGUGAUUGUACAAAUACGUUUGUCAAAGUCAAGCUGUAGCAGACGUAUGACCAAUGGUCUGGUGCUCAGCGGCG